rnacentral:rRNA from 1 species
GACGAACGCUGGCGGCGUGCCUAAUACAUGCAAGUCGAACGGUCUUUUCUAUGGAAGCUUGCUUCCGCUGAGAAGAUAGUGGCGAACGGGUGAGUAACACGUGGGUAACCUGCCCAUAAGAGGGGGAUAACAUCCGGAAACGGGUGCUAAUACCGCAUAGGUUUCUUGGUCGCAUGAUCGAGAAAGGAAAGACGGCCUUUGUGCUGUCGCUUAUGGAUGGACCCGCGGCGUAUUAGUUAGUUGGUGAGGUAACGGCUCACCAAGACGAUGAUACGUAGCCGACCUGAGAGGGUGAUCGGCCACAUUGGGACUGAGACACGGCCCAAACUCCUACGGGAGGCAGCAGUAGGGAAUCUUCCGCAAUGGACGAAAGUCUGACGGAGCAACGCCGCGUGAGUGAAGAAGGUUUUCGGAUCGUAAAACUCUGUUGUCAGAGAAGAACAAGUCGGAGAGUAACUGCUCCGGCCUUGACGGUAUCUGACCAGAAAGCCACGGCUAACUACGUGCCAGCAGCCGCAGUAAUAC